ACACACACACACACACACACACAUACAUAUAUUCACACACAUAUACACACACGCACAUUAAUACUUUAAAUUAAUACUGAGGAUGAGUUUAAUAGUGAAACCCAGGCAGGGGAAAUGAGGCCAGUAUUCCUGACCCUCAGCAUAUAUUACCUGCCUUCCCCCACCUACCUCCCACCCAAAAUUAAGGUGAGAGCCCCCUAGCCCCGUCCAGUUCCUCCUUACCCCCCGCACCCGCGAGGGUAGCCACGAGGAAGCCCCGGCGAGGCAACGCCCCAGGGAACCGCCUUGCUCUAAACCCCUCCCCGGGGCCCCGCGGUUCCUUUCUUGGAGGAUCUUCCCCCAUCUACCACUUCCCACCCCCAGGCUUUGUGAGGCGGCCUCUUCUUCCUCUCGGGCGAAGGCGUUCGACGCCGGCCAUCAUCUCUUCCCACCCCACCCCACCCCAGGCUGCCACGUUCCGGGCGGCUCCAGCGCCUGCGACCCGUCUCCUCACACGCCACCCACCCCAGGGCAUGGAAGUAUGGGGGGGGAGUUGCAGUUGAAAUGCAGGAAAGAAAAAGACGGUUAAAAGGCAGGUUUAUGCAGCCAGAGCCCUGUACAUUGCCUUAGGACUUCCGAGAGAUGAGGUUGCAAAAAAAAAUAAAAAAUCCACAAAAAUGCAGAUUUUGGCACUCCCUGCGGAUGCCACAGCCUCCAGGAAAGAUCAGAAUCUGGAUUCGCUUUCGAGUCUGUGGAAGGCAAGUUAAUGGAGGAACACCGCUUGCAGAAGGAAGUUAUUGCAGUGCAAAAGGGUAGGGGGAAAAACUGGUAUAUCUCUCGAGUCCAGAGUCCUCCACUCCUCUGCUUGCGACAAAAUAUCUUAUGCCACCAGGCUUGAAAUUUUGGGCUUGG